GCCAGGUGCAGUAGUGCACACCUGUAGUCCAGCUACUCAGGAGGAUCUCUUGAGUGCAGGAGUUCUGGGCUGUGCCUUACUAUGCCAAUAGGGUGUCCGCACUAAGUUCAGCAUCAAUAUGGUGACCUUCCGGGAGCAGGUGACCACCAGGUUGCUUAAGGAGAGGUAAACCCGCCCAGGUCAGAAAUGAAGCAAGUCAAAACUAUAUAUUCUAGAAAAAAAAAGUAUUCCCUUAUCCAUUUAUGAAUUAAGACAUACUUCCAGAAAAAUUCAUUUAU
rnacentral:SRP_RNA from 1 species